GAUGAACGCUGGCGGCGUGCCUAAUACAUGCAAGUCGAGCGAACAGACGAGGAGCUUGCUCCUCUGACGUUAGCGGCGGAUGGGUGAGUAGCACGUGGAUAACCUACCUAUAAGACUGGGAUAACUUCGGGAAACCGGAGCUAAUACCGGAUAAUAUAUUGAACCGCAUGGUUCAAUAGUGAAAGACGGUUUUGCUGUCACUUAUAGAUGGAUCCGCGCCGCAUUAGCUAGUUGGUAAGGUAACGGCUUACCAAGGCAACGAUGCGUAGCCGACCUGAGAGGGUGAUCGGCCACACUGGAACUGAGACACGGUCCAGACUCCUACGGGAGGCAGCAGUAGGGAAUCUUCCGCAAUGGGCGAAAGCCUGACGGAGCAACGCCGCGUGAGUGAUGAAGGUCUUCGGAUCGUAAAACUCUGUUAUUAGGGAAGAACAAAUGUGUAAGUAACUAUGCACGUCUUGACGGUACCUAAUCAGAAAGCCACGGCUAACUACGUGCCAGCAGCCGCGGUAAUACGUAGGUGGCAAGCGUUAUCCGGAAUUAUUGGGCGUAAAGCGCGCGUAGGCGGUUUUUUAAGUCUGAUGUGAAAGCCCACGGCUCAACCGUGGAGGGUCAUUGGAAACUGGAAAACUUGAGUGCAGAAGAGGAAAGUGGAAUUCCAUGUGUAGCGGUGAAAUGCGUAGA
rnacentral:rRNA from 1 species